AGGGCGUGUAGUGGAUGCCUUGGCACUGAAAGCCGAUGAAGGACGUGAUAUACUGCGAUAAGUUUCGGGGAGCUGUAUGUAAGCUUUGAUCCGAAAAUUUCCGAAUGGGGAAACCCACCACUUUAUGUGGUACUUUAAACUGAAUACAUAGGUUUAAAGAGACAACCUGGAGAACUGAAACAUCUAAGUAACCAGAGGAAAAGAAAUCAAUUGAGAUUCCGUUAGUAGUGGCGAGCGAACGCGGAGUAGGCCAGUAGUUUUGUUAGAAAAAUUUGAAUAGUUUGGAAAUGCUAACCAUAGAGGGUGAUAGUCCCGUAUGAGUAAUGUCUAACAAAAUUCUUGAGUAAAGCGGGACACGAGAAAUCCUGCUCGAAUAUAGGGGGACCACCCUCUAAGCCUAAAUACUCUUCAGUGACCGAUAGUGAACUAGUACCGUGAGGGAAAGGUGAAAAGAACCCCUAUUAGGGGAGUGAAAUAGAACCUGAAACUGCAUGCCUACAAUCAGUCCGAGCCCUUUUUAGGGUGAGGGCGUACCUUUUGUAUAAUGGGUCAGUGACUUAAUUUAUUAAGCAAGCUUAAGCCAUCUAGGUGUAGGCGCAGCGAAAGCAAGUCUUAAUAGGGCGAUUAGUUUAAUGAAUUAGACCCGAAAACGAAUGAGCUUACCAUGAGCAGGUUGAAAGUUGGGUAACACCAACCGGAGGACCGAACCAGUUGACGUUGAAAAGUCUUUGGAUGACUUGUGGUAAGGGGUGAAAGGCCAACCAAAUUCGUAGAUAGCUGGUUUUCCGCGAAAACUAUUUAGGUAGUGCCUCACGUAUCACCUUCGGGGGUAGAGCACUGUUAUGGCUAGGGGUCCAUCCUGGAUUACCAAACCAUUGCAAACUCCGAAUACCAACAAGUAGAGCACGGGAGACAGACUGCGGGUGCUAACGUCCGUAGUCGAGAGGGAAACAACCCAGACCACCAGCUAAGGUCCCUAAUAUCAGUUAAGUGGGAAACGAUGUGGGAAGGCUCAGACAGCUAGGAGGUUGGCUUAGAAGCAGCCAUCCUUUAAAGAAAGCGUAAUAGCUCACUAGUCGAGUCGGCCUGCGCGGAAGAUAUACCGGGGCUCAAACUGAUAACCGAAGCUGUGGAUGCGCACGAUGUGCGUGUGGUAGAGGAGCGUUCUGUAAGCCGUUGAAGGUGAACUGUGAGGUUUGCUGGAGGUAUCAGAAGUGCGAAUGCUGACAUGAGUAACGAUAAGGGGAGUGAAAAGCUCCCCCGCCGGAAGACCAAGGUUUCCUAUCCAAUGCUAAUCAGGGUAGGGUGAGUCGGCCCCUAAGGCGAGGCUGAAGAGCGUAGUCGAUGGGAAGCAGGUUAAUAUUCCUGCACCACUCAAUAUUGCGAAGGAGGGACGGAGAAGGCUAGUCCAGCGCGGCGUUGGUUGUCCGCGUUUAAGCGUGUAGGCUUAAAUCUUAGGUAAAUCCGGGAUUUUUUAAGGCUGAGGCGUGAUGACGAGGUCCAUUAGGACUGAAGUGGUUGAUGCCAUGCUUCCAGGAAAAGCUUCUAAGCUAUAGAUAUUGAGUGACCGUACCCCAAACCGACACAGGUGGUCAGGUAGAGAAUACCAAGGCGCUUGAGAGAACUAUGGUGAAGGAACUAGGCAAAAUGGUGCCGUAACUUCGGGAGAAGGCACGCCGAUUUUGGUGAUGGGAUUUACUCCCUAAGCUGAGGUUGGCCGCAGAGACCAGGCCCCUGCGACUGUUUAUCUAAAACACAGCACUCUGCAAACUCGUAAGAGGAAGUAUAGGGUGUGACGCCUGCCCGGUGCCGGAAGGUUAAUUGAUGGGGUUAUUCUUCGGAAGAAGCUCUUGAUCGAAGCCCCGGUAAACGGCGGCCGUAACUAUAACGGUCCUAAGGUAGCGAAAUUCCUUGUCGGGUAAGUUCCGACCUGCACGAAUGGCGUAACGAUGGCCACACUGUCUCCACCAUAGACUCAGUGAAAUUGAAAUCGCUGUUAAGAUGCAGUGUAUCCGCGGCUAGACGGAAAGACCCCGUGAACCUUUACUAUAGCUUCACAGUGAACUUUGAACCUAUUUGUGUAGGAUAGGUGGGAGGCUUUGAAACUGGGACGCUAGUCUCAGUGGAGCCAAACUUGAAAUACCACCCUGGUAUGUUUGAGGUUCUAACUCAGGUCCGUAAUCCGGAUCGAGGACACUGUGUGGUGGGUAGUUUGACUGGGGCGGUCUCCUCCCAAAGAGUAACGGAGGAGCGCGAAGGUACACUCAGCAUGGUCGGAAAUCAUGCUAUGAGCGCAAAGGUAGAAGUGUGCUUGACUGCGAGACUGACACGUCGAGCAGGUACGAAAGUAGGUCUUAGUGAUCCGGUGGUUCUGUAUGGAAGGGCCAUCGCUCAACGGAUAAAAGGUACUCCGGGGAUAACAGGCUGAUACCGCCCAAGAGUUCACAUCGACGGCGGUGUUUGGCACCUCGAUGUCGGCUCAUCACAUCCUGGGGCUGAAGCCGGUCCCAAGGGUAUGGCUGUUCGCCAUUUAAAGUGGUACGCGAGCUGGGUUCAGAACGUCGUGAGACAGUUCGGUCCCUAUCUGCCGUGGGCGUUUGAGAUUUGAGAGGAGCUGCUCCUAGUACGAGAGGACCGGAGUGGACGCACCCCUGGUGUUCCGGUUGUCACGCCAGUGGCAUUGCCGGGUAGCUAUGUGCGGACAGGAUAACCGCUGAAAGCAUCUAAGCGGGAAGCCUCUCCCAAGAUUAGAUCUCCCAUAGACUUCGGUCUACUAAAGAGUCGUCAUAGACUAUGACGUUGAUAGGCAAGGUGUGUAAGCGCUGUGAGGCGUUGAGCUAACUAGUACUAAUUGCUCGUGAGGCUUGAUC
rnacentral:rRNA from 1 species